AUUGAACGCUGGCGGCAGGCCUAACACAUGCGAGUCGAACGGUAACAGGGAUCAGCUUGCUGAUUCGCUGACGAGUGGCGGACGGGUGAGUAAUGUCUGGGAAACUGCCUGAUGGAGGGGGAUAACUACUGGAAACGGUAGCUAAUACCGCAUAACGUCGCAAGACCAAAGAGGGGGACCUUCGGGCCUCUUGCCAUCGGAUGUGCCCAGAUGGGAUUAGCUAGUAGGUGGGGUAACGGCUCACCUAGGCGACGAUCCCUAGCUGGUCUGAGAGGAUGACCAGCCACCCUGGAACUGAGACACGGUCCAGACUCCUACGGGAGGCAGCAGUGGGGAAUAUUGCACAAUGGGCGCAAGCCUGAUGCAGCCAUGCCGCGUGUAUGAAGAAGGCCUUCGGGUUGUAAAGUACUUUCAGCGGGGAGGAAGGGAGUAAAGUUAAUACCUUUGCUCAUUGACGUUACCCGCAGAAGAAGCACCGGCUAACUCCGUG
rnacentral:rRNA from 1 species